UACGGAGGGUGCAAGCGUUAUCCGGAAUCACUGGGGUUAAAGGGUGCGUAGGCGGUCAGAUAAGUCAGUUGUGAAAUACCCCGGCUUAACCGGAGGAACUGCGAUUGAUACUGUUUGACUUGAAUCAGGUUGAGGUAGGCGGAAUGUGGCAUGUAGCGGUGAAAUGCUUAGAUAUGCCAUAGAACACCGAUUGCGAAGGCAGCUUGCUGGGCCUGUAUUGACGCUGAGGCACGAAAGCGUGGGGAGCAAACAGG
rnacentral:rRNA from 1 species